GGGUUGUGAGGUUAAGCGACUAAGCGUACACGGUGGAUGCCCUGGCAGUCAGAGGCGAUGAAGGGCGUGCUAAUCUGCGAUAAGCGCCGGUAAGGUGAUAUGAACCGUUAUAACCGGCGAUACCCGAAUGGGGAAACCCAGUGUGACUCGUCACACUAUCAUUAACUGAAUCCAUAGGUUAAUGAGGCGAACCGGGGGAACUGAAACAUCUAAGUACCCCGAGGAAAAGAAAUCAACCGAGAUUCCCCCAGUAGCGGCGAGCGAACGGGGAGGAGCCCAGAGCCUGAAUCAGCAUGUGUGUUAGUGGAAGCGUCUGGAAAGGCGCGCGAUACAGGGUGACAGCCCCGUACACAAAAGCGCAUGUGCUGUGAGCUCGAUGAGUAGGGCGGGACACGUGAUAUCCUGUCUGAAUAUGGGGGGACCAUCCUCCAAGGCUAAAUACUCCUGACUGACCGAUAGUGAACCAGUACCGUGAGGGAAAGGCGAAAAGAACCCCGGCGAGGGGAGUGAAAAAGAACCUGAAACCGUGUACGUACAAGCAGUGGGAGCACCCUUUGGGGUGUGACUGCGUACCUUUUGUAUAAUGGGUCAGCGACUUAUAUUCUGUAGCAAGGUUAACCGAAUAGGGGAGCCGGAGGGAAACCGAGUCUUAACCGGGCGUUAAGUUGCAGGGUAUAGACCCGAAACCCGGUGAUCUAGCCAUGGGCAGGUUGAAGGUUGGGUAACACUAACUGGAGGACCGAACCGACUAAUGUUGAAAAAUUAGCGGAUGACCUGUGGCUGGGGGUGAAAGGCCAAUCAAACCGGGAGAUAGCUGGUUCUCCCCGAAAGCUAUUUAGGUAGCGCCUCGUGAAUUCAUCUCCGGGGGUAGAGCACUGUUUCGGCUAGGGGGCCAUCCCGGCUUACCAACCCGAUGCAAACUGCGAAUACCGGAGAAUGUUAUCACGGGAGACACACGGCGGGUGCUAACGUCCGUCGUGAAGAGGGAAACAACCCAGACCGCCAGCUAAGGUCCCAAAGUCAUGGUUAAGUGGGAAACGAUGUGGGAAGGCCCAGACAGCCAGGAUGUUGGCUUAGAAGCAGCCAUCAUUUAAAGAAAGCGUAAUAGCUCACUGGUCGAGUCGGCCUGCGCGGAAGAUGUAACGGGGCUAAACUAUGCACCGAAGCUGCGGCAGCGACACUGUGUGUUGUUGGGUAGGGGAGCGUUCUGUAAGCCUGUGAAGGUGUGUCGUGAGGCAUGCUGGAGGUAUCAGAAGUGCGAAUGCUGACAUAAGUAACGAUAAAGCGGGUGAAAAGCCCGCUCGCCGGAAGACCAAGGGUUCCUGUCCAACGUUAAUCGGGGCAGGGUGAGUCGACCCCUAAGGCGAGGCCGAAAGGCGUAGUCGAUGGGAAACGGGUUAAUAUUCCCGUACUUGGUGUUACUGCGAAGGGGGGACGGAGAAGGCUAUGUUGGCCGGGCGACGGUUGUCCCGGUUUAAGCGUGUAGGUGUGUGUUCCAGGUAAAUCCGGUUCACUUUAACACUGAGGCGUGACGACGAGGCACUACGGUGCUGAAGCAACAAAUGCCCUGCUUCCAGGAAAAGCCUCUAAGCAUCAGGUAACAUCAAAUCGUACCCCAAACCGACACAGGUGGUCAGGUAGAGAAUACCAAGGCGCUUGAGAGAACUCGGGUGAAGGAACUAGGCAAAAUGGUGCCGUAACUUCGGGAGAAGGCACGCUGACACGUAGGUGAAGUGAUUUACUCAUGGAGCUGAAGUCAGUCGAAGAUACCAGCUGGCUGCAACUGUUUAUUAAAAACACAGCACUGUGCAAACACGAAAGUGGACGUAUACGGUGUGACGCCUGCCCGGUGCCGGAAGGUUAAUUGAUGGGGUCAGCGCAAGCGAAGCUCCUGAUCGAAGCCCCGGUAAACGGCGGCCGUAACUAUAACGGUCCUAAGGUAGCGAAAUUCCUUGUCGGGUAAGUUCCGACCUGCACGAAUGGCGUAAUGAUGGCCAGGCUGUCUCCACCCGAGACUCAGUGAAAUUGAACUCGCUGUGAAGAUGCAGUGUACCCGCGGCAAGACGGAAAGACCCCGUGAACCUUUACUAUAGCUUGACACUGAACAUUGAGCCUUGAUGUGUAGGAUAGGUGGGAGGCUUUGAAGCGUGGACGCCAGUCUGCGUGGAGCCGACCUUGAAAUACCACCCUUUAAUGUUUGAUGUUCUAACGUGGACCCGUGAUCCGGGUUGCGGACAGUGUCUGGUGGGUAGUUUGACUGGGGCGGUCUCCUCCUAAAGAGUAACGGAGGAGCACGAAGGUUGGCUAAUCCUGGUCGGACAUCAGGAGGUUAGUGCAAUGGCAUAAGCCAGCUUGACUGCGAGCGUGACGGCGCGAGCAGGUGCGAAAGCAGGUCAUAGUGAUCCGGUGGUUCUGAAUGGAAGGGCCAUCGCUCAACGGAUAAAAGGUACUCCGGGGAUAACAGGCUGAUACCGCCCAAGAGUUCAUAUCGACGGCGGUGUUUGGCACCUCGAUGUCGGCUCAUCACAUCCUGGGGCUGAAGUAGGUCCCAAGGGUAUGGCUGUUCGCCAUUUAAAGUGGUACGCGAGCUGGGUUUAGAACGUCGUGAGACAGUUCGGUCCCUAUCUGCCGUGGGCGCUGGAGAACUGAGGGGGGCUGCUCCUAGUACGAGAGGACCGGAGUGGACGCAUCACUGGUGUUCGGGUUGUCAUGCCAAUGGCACUGCCCGGUAGCUAAAUGCGGAAGAGAUAAGUGCUGAAAGCAUCUAAGCACGAAACUUGCCCCGAGAUGAGUUCUCCCUGAGACUUAGAGUCUCCUGAAGGAACGUUGAAGACGACGACGUUGAUAGGCCGGGUGUGUAAGCGCAGCGAUGCGUUGAGCUAACCGGUACUAAUGAACCGUGAGGCUUAACCUUACAACGCCGAAG
rnacentral:rRNA from 1 species